UAUCUUAUAGAAACCCCAGUCCCAAGUUAACUGCCUAGGCUCCCCCUACAAGUUUAUAAGCAGAGUUGGGCACCCAAGAAUGGACUCCACAAAAGCCAGCAUAUGAGCUAUAAUUUGGAAACACUGAAGACAGGAUUGUGCCCUAAGUUCCAGAGAAGGACAGGACUUAGAAAUCUUACUCCAAGUUGUGGUGAAAUGGCUACCUAAUCAUAUUUCAUAACUCUGAAUCUUCUUUUUGGAUUCGGUGUCUAAAUCGAUGCUCACAAAGGAUGACUGGAGGAAGAAAAGAAGAUGAGGCUACAACUUGUUCUUCAUCCAGUAGUUCAGUGGCUUGAUGCUCUCCUCAGUUUGAAGGGGUUCAAACCCACAUCUUCUACCUCCCAGUGCUGCUGAUGCUACUUGUAGAAGGAUCCACUUUGGCUAUUCUGUAGCCUGAUUUCUGCCCAAAGAUCCAUUGAGAAAGUCUGUGGGUGGAGAUGGCUGUGAUAAUCAUCUUCUACUAUGACUACAAACACCUGGUGGUAUUUCAUUACCAGCAGAGAAGGAGAGAUUUGAAAACUGCCAUGGUUUCGGAGAAACACUGUCAGGGUUGGAAAUUCCAUUCCCUCCUGAACUAUAGUCACAGAGGCACAUCUCCAAUUAGGGAAAAGGAAAGAGAAAGAAAAUUAAAAUUUUAAGGUGAGAGCCAACACCCAGAUGUCAAAAGGUUCAACUGUAUGAUUAGCCAUGAACAGGGUUAUCUGAUAAAUCAGGAGUUUAUUUUUCUUUUGUUUGGUAGUUCUGUAUGUUUGGGUUUUAAUAAAUAAAUUGGGCAUGACUUCCCAGGAUAAACACUUUUGUCCAUUAAAGGCAGACAAACAGUUAAUUUAAAAUAAUAUCAGCGAGCACAUCUGCCCUCAUCUUUGCCAUUAUUGGUUUUAUUUAAUAUUCCUUAUGUUUUUUAAUGUUGCUUUAUGAAAGCCCAACAUAAUCAGUAGAAACAGACUUACAAUAGCAUGUAAAUUAACAUACAGGUGGACAUGCAAAUUAACAUACAGAAAGGCCUGUCAAAUACAUAAACAAAUGGAAGAGAUGAACACUUUUCACAUCAAACUCUUUUAAUAGAAGUAUGUAAAAAACUGAGACACAAGUGUAUUUUUAAUCUGCAACUUUUCUUUUUAAAGGGGCUCUUUAUUAAUAGACAGGCUUCUUUCAGUUUUGUAUUAGGGGGAAAGAAUGUGCUGUAUUUACCUGAAUUCAAGAUGAUUUUGAAUUGUAGAAGA